UGCGUACAGUGGGGGAGGUUCAAUAUUUUCUUGAUAAAAUUAGAAGACUGUUCCCCAAAAAAAAAACAGACAUUCUAACCUUUUGUCUUGGUCUGCAACCUUCACAAGAGGAAGGGAGUUAGUUGAGGAUACAAUGUGAUAGAGGGAGUUAUAAUCCGAGCAUAAACCCCUAAAGGGUUCGCGCAAGGCUUAAUUCGUUCUGCACAAUGAAAGGAACAAAGGAAUAUAGUUUCUAGGGGGUCUAAUGGG
rnacentral:lncRNA from 1 species